rnacentral:rRNA from 1 species
UGAGGAACAUGACCUUCGGCGGGGGAUAGCCGGCCCAACGGCCGGGUAAUACCGCGUACGACCACAUGAGGACAUCCCUGAGUGGUGAAAGCAGCAAUGCGCCGAUGGAGUGCCUCGCGGCCUAUCAGCUAGUUGGUGAGGUAACGGCUCACCAAGGCGACGACGGGUAGCUGGUCUGAGAGGAUGGCCAGCCACAUUGGGGACUGAGACCACGGCCCAGAUCCCGUAACGGGG